AAAGAAAGAAGAAGAAGGAGAAGAGGAAAUUGAUAGGAAAAUAAGGAUAAGGUGAAGAAAGAGGAAAAUUCAUAAAGAAUUUCCAGCAUCAGUUUUGGAUCUACUCAAAUUGUAGACAGAUUUUCAGUUGCUCUGCCUGCGUAAUAUUUCACGUCAGGCAUGACAGAUGUUAGUUGCUAUGCCUGCGAAAUAUUUUAUGCCAGGUAUGACAGAUUUUAAGUUGUUCUGCCUGUGUAGUAUUUUACCCCAGACAUGACAGAUUUCAAUCGUUCUACCCAAGUAAGAUUCAGCAUCUCAGAUAUGACAGUUCUUUCUCGCUCUACCUGUGUUGGGGACAUUCAUCGGGUAUGACAGAUUUCUUCUUGAGAAUAUUAGUAGUGUGUAUAGAUUAAGUUAUUGUAUUGGAGAGAGGUUCAGAAAUAAAUAAAGAAAAUAAAAAUAUAAGUUGUUGACAACCAGAUCUUGUUUUUAAAGAUAAUAUUUCCUAAGCAUAAUUUUAUCACUCGUGCAAUGUGUGUUCCUUAAAUUUAUUCAGAAUAUUGAGUAUGCAUAGGAAUUGUUGGCAACCUCAUUGUCAUAAGUGUGUUACCAUAUAAAGAAAAAUAUAUUUGAAUGCAGUCAUGAAUUUUGUUUAUUGGUAAAUGCAACUUUUGAAAUAUUUUGAGAGGUUAUGUGUUCAUUCAAAAAGAAUUGCAAUAAUUAGUUCAAGUGCGAUAUUCCUGAUUUAUCUUAAUUAUUAGCAGUAAAUGAUUUUAUUUUAGUGGUGAUGUUUCUAAUUAUUUCCUUAGAGAUUAAAUAUCUUCGAAUAGGUUAAUAUUAUAAACUCUUGCAUAUUUUUAUGGAUAUAUAUGUGUAUGCAACAAUGUUUUAUAAACUGCCCACUCACUGAGCUUUUAGCUCACCUUUAUAGAAUUUUGCCCUCCAGGACAUCUCCAGGACCGUGUCGAGCAAUGACUUUGCCCAAGGUUGUGCCACAAUAUAGCAUUUUCAAUAGGUGUCCCAGGUUGCAUACAUAUAUUUGGAUUUUCUUUGAGAAACUUAUGAAACCUUGAAGGUCGGAGGCCUAGUUAAUCUAUUUUCAUGAUUUAGAGUGGAAAUCAAGAUGUAAAAAAAAUUUUGUUAUGCAUAUGAUGAGGCCGGAGGCCUAAUUAAAAGCUUAUUUUAUGUUUUGAAUUUGAAAUCAGGUUGUUAUUUUGCUAUAUAAUUAUGGUAAGGCUAGACACCUAGACAUGAUGUUAAAAACAAAAAUUAAAAAUUAAGUGUUAUAGAUAUGUGUGUUGCAGAAGAUUUAAAAAAUUUUACAGGAUGCGUCUCGAUCUCCUAAGUUCCCAUAAGAGUGUUUGGGUGUUAUAGGGUUAGAGAGUUGGGACGGUUCCUGUCACUAGAGACAUGGAUGGAAGUAGAAAUCAGUAAUUUGAUGGUGCAAUAAGGACAAUAGCUACCAUUUGGUCUUUAAUCCAAUAAUUGGAAAACCUCUAGAUGAAAGGAACAUCGAAGCCGAAUUGCAGAAACUGGGAAAGUUCUCAGUAUCAUUGAAGAAUAAUUGAGUACAUCCAAAUAUCUUAUCUAAUUCACUUUAUGAAAACAUAGAUUUGUGAAAAAAAAAUGAAAAUUUUCUUAGUUAUACUCCAAGUCAGAUUGUAGUUAUAUCAGAAAAACUGAAGCAACUACCCUAAUUUCCUGCUUCUUUCACUUUCUCUAAGUAUAUAAACUAAUACUCUCAGAAUCUGGAGUACUUUGAAAUUUGGUAAGCCAGUUGAAAUCUCAGAAUCAACAACUGUCGCAAGAUCUUCUUGGAGAAGCGCUUGUUCUUCACUUUAGAGCAAUUAAAGUUUCAAAGAUCUUUAUCAACCACAGUCGCAAUAUCAGAAAAGAAGAAGAACUGACUUCUUCACAGCCUCCUUAGAUGUGAAUUGAAUCCUGCAUUUGGAUUCUGAUGUUAACCAGAUAGUUACAGACAUGUAUGGCAGAAACAUUACUGUUGAUGUAGCUAGAACCAGAUUUGUUCAAGACCUGUUGGAAGCCAGGAGAUUCGAUCAAAUAGCAAUUGACAAACUGUAAGUGAAUUGGAUGUAUUACUUUCCUUGUUUAACGACAACAACAUGCAAGGUUUCCCUUUCCCACUUGUACUUUUUAUCAUAAAAGUAACUUUGCGCAUACACGACCCAAUACCCAUAAUCGUCUUAAUGGUAAACUGCAGAUACGUGGACCCUGCUGUGGCUUACUCUAUGAUAUUGAUAGUGUAUCUAGACCACGAUAAGCCUUGAGUGGCAGAUAGAAACUGACAAGCAAAAACAGCCUAGGCAGACAGUGGCGGGGGGGAUUCAGAAGUUGAGUUUGCAUGCCUCAGUGAGGCAGAGAAAUAGGAUUAUCAGUCUUUUUAGUUUUGUAAACUGAACUGACAAAUGAUAUACUGUUGUUUUUGUUAGAAAUUGUGGUGCUGGAUUUUUCUUUCAUUUUAGUCUUCGUUGUUUCGAUGAACAUGUACAUUUGAUUGAUUCUUAUUCUUUUAGAAGUAGUCUAAAUCAUGAACUGAGAUUUUACUUUGC